GACAGAGGGUGCAAACGUUGUUCGGAAUUACUGGGCGUAAAGCGAGUGUAGGCGGUCUGAAAAGUCGGGUGUGAAAGCCCCGGGCUCAACCCGGGAAGUGCACUCGAAACUCUCAGGCUAGAGUAUCGGAGAGGUUGGUGGAAUUCUCGGUGUAGAGGUGAAAUUCGUAGAUAUGGGGAGGAACACCGGUGGCGAAGGCGGCCACCUGGACGGUAACUGACGCUGAGACGCGAAAGCGUGGGGAGCAAACAGG
rnacentral:rRNA from 1 species